rnacentral:rRNA from 1 species
UGAUCUGGCUCAGAACGAACGCUGGCGGUAUGCUUUACACAUGCAAGUCGAACGAAUAUGGAACUAGCUUGCUAGGAACCCAGUUAGUGGCAGACGGGUGAGUAACGCGUGGGAACCUACCUUUUAGUACGGAAUAGUCCCGGGAAACUGGGUUUAAUACCGUAUACGCUCUUCGGAGGAAAGAUUUAUCGCUAAAAGAUGGGCCCGCGUUAGAUUAGUUUGUUGGUGAGGUAAUGGCUCACCAAGACUACGAUCUAUAGCUGGUUUGAGAGGAUGAUCAGCCACACUGGGACUGAGACACGGCCCAGACUCCUACGGGAGGCAGCAGUGGGGAAUAUUGGACAAUGGACGAAAGUCUGAUCCAGCAAUACCGCGUGAGUGAUGAAGGCCUUAGGGUUGUAAAACUCUUUCAGUAGGGAAGAUAAUGACGGUACCUACAGAAGAAGCACCGGCUAACUCCGUGCCAGCAGCCGCGGUAAUACGGAGGGUGCUAGCGUUGUUCGGAAUUACUGGGCGUAAAGAGUGCGUAGGCGGAUAUGCAAGUUGGGAGUGAAAUCCCGGGGCUCAACCUCGGAAUUGCUUCCAAAACUGUUUAUCUAGAGUAUGGUAGGGGAAAGUGGAAUUCUUAGUGUAGGGGUGAAAUCCGUAGAUAUUAAGAGGAACACCAGAGGCGAAGGCGACUUUCUGGACCAUUACUGACGCUAAGGCACGAAAGCGUGGGGAGCGAACGGGAUUAGAUACCCCGGUAGUCCACGCCGUAAACGAUGGGUGCUAGUUAUUGGGGCUUUAUGCUUCGGUGACGCAGCUAACGCGUUAAGCACCCCGCCUGGGGAGUACGGUCGCAAGAUUAAAACUCAAUGGAAUUGACGGGGACCCGCACAAGCGGUGGAGCAUGUGGUUUAAUUCGAUGCAACGCGAAGAACCUUACCACCUUUUGACAUCCUGAUCAUCGGAAAUGUAAUGUUUCCUUCAGUUCGGCUGGAUCACCUCCUUUCU